rnacentral:tRNA from 1 species
GGCAGGGUAGCUCAGGGGAAGAGCGGAGCCCUCAUAAAGCUUAGGUCGCGGGUUCAAAUCCCGCCCCUGCCA